rnacentral:rRNA from 1 species
UUGGAGGGCAAGUCUGGUGCCAGCAGCCGCGGUAAUUCCAGCUCCAAUAGCGUAUAUUAAAGUUGUUGCAGUUAAAAAGCUCGUAGUUGAAUUUCGGGAUCAAAUUGUCGGUCGUGCCUCGGUACGCACUGGUAUUAUUGGUUCCUCCCUUCUGAAGAACCGCGAUGUCAUUAAUUUGGUGUCGUGGGAAAUCAGGACUGUUACUUUGAAAAAAUUAGAGUGUUUAAAGCAAGCGCACGCUUGAAUACAUUAGCAUGGAAUAAUGAAAUAGGACGUUUGAUUCUAUUUUGUUGGUUUCUAGGAUCGACGUAAUGAUUAAUAGGGAUAGUUGGGGGCAUUAGUAUUCAAUUGUCAGAGGUGAAAUUCUUGGAUUUAUUGAAGACUAACUACUGCGAAAGCAUUUGCCAAGGAUGUUUUCAUUAAUCAAGAACGAAAGUUAGGGGAUCGAAGACGAUCAGAUACCGUCGUAGUCUUACCAUAAACUAUGCCGACUAGGGAUCGGAUGAUGUUAAUUUUUUAAUGACUCAUUCGGCGCCUUACGGGAAAC